UUUUUUUUUUGUUCCUCUAUAGAAAAUCAAAUCUCAUGUAAGAAUUUACUCCCAAAGAUCUGCACCUCAUCGACGAGUAGUUUUAUUUAGGAUUUGAAUCUUUCUUUUCUCUCUAAGAAACACGUAUAUGAAUUUUUCUAUUAUUUUUUGACUUUCUUUUACCUUCCUUGUUAUUUUUUUUUAAAAAAGCCUUUCGGUCUUUUUUUCUUCUCUCUAAAAAAUAGGGAAAAAGAAAGAGACAUAAGAUUGUUUUUUUGUUUUCUCUCUCUCUUAUCGGGUUUUGUUAAGAAGCACAGCCCUUCACAAGGAUGAUGGUUUUGAAUAUGCUCCAAAUGGAACUCUCUUUGAGCAUCUCCACAUAAAAGAAUCUGAGCACCUGGACUGGGAUAUGAGACUGAGAAUAGCAAUGGGAGUAGGAUACUGCUUAGACCAUAUGCACCAGCUUGAUCCGCCCGUCGUACACAGACAUCUUUGUUCUUCUUCAGUAUACCUCACUGAAGACUAUGCUGCCAAGUUGUCAGAUUUUAGCUAUUGGAUUGAAGCAACAGCAGCGAAGUUAGGAUCAGCAACAGUCGAGGAACAUAAUGUUUUAAAGGUGCAUACCUCAUAUAAUGUAAAGUUAGAUAUUAGAGGAACAUAGAAUAAUUUUUACAGAGCUAGAAAAGAAAGAAUGGUGUACUCAUUUAAAAUUCUUCAAGAUCGAAGCUCCUUCUCAUGGAUGUAGCCUCUAGGCAUCAUGGAAAAUUUUUCUACGUUUAUAGGAAUGUUGAAUAUUUGGAAAAUAUUCACUAAUUUAUUUUCA